CUGAAGAGCUUUGAUCAGUUCACCUGCAACCUGCUGUAUGUGAGCUGGAGGAAGGACCUCACUGAGCACCUUCACCGCCUCUACUUCCGGGGCCGUGUGUACUACACCCUCAACGUGCUGCGGGAUGACAUCGAUAACCCGUAGGCGCCCCAACUCAGUCCUUUCUACACUCUGUGUGGUCCUUUCCAUCUGGCCUAGCCCUGGAGACUCCUGGUGGCAGACACCAAGGAGAUCAUCUACAGUCGUUUUCAAAUGCUGCUGCCCAGAGUCAUGGGGGAGGGUGCCCUGCAGAGGACUCCUGGAGAAGCUGCAGGGCUGUGAAUAGGCAGCUAAAAAGAAGAAGCCUGCCAGGUGCAGUGGCAUGCACCUGUAGUCCCAACAACUCAGGAGGCUGAGGCAGGAGGAUCACUUGAGCCCAGGAGUAGUGCACUGUGAGCACACUUGGGAAUAGCCACUGUACUCUAGCCUGGGCAACAUAGCAGAAACCCCCAUCUCUUAAAAAAAAAAAAAAAUUAGGAGCAGCUUUCUUUUGUCCUUUUCAUACUUUAUAUCUUAGUCUUCCAGUAAGAAGACUAAGGGGUUUCUUUAGAGGGUUCUAAAGAAAAUGUCCUUGCUAGAAAAACCAGCUCUUAGAUUUUCAUCAGUAAAAAAAAAUUACCACUAUCCAGGACUCAGUCUAGGAUUCAAAUCUCCAUUCUAUCACCACUCAGGUUAUAACUCUUAAAGUCACCAAGCCCCAGGUUCCCCUUCUGUAAAACGAGGACAAUAAUAGUUCCUAUCUCAAAGGGUGUAGUGAGGAUGAAAUAUCAUUCAUGUAAUGCACAUGUACAGUGCCUGACACAUAGCAAGUGUUUCAGUGUAAGUUAGCUAUUGUUAUUUUACAGAUGAGGAAGCUGAAGCCCAGAGAUUGCAAGUGACUUGCCCAAGGUCGCGUCACUCAUUGGGAAUAGGAGUCAGUAUGGCCCUAGUGGUGAGAUGAGACAUACGGGGUCUCCUUCACACCCAUCCCCUCACUCACCACCUUCCUAGCAAGCACUUUGUUGGUUGGGGUACCUCUCAGCUCAAGCUUAGCUUUGGUGCAAAGAUGCGUAGGAGGCUGCUGCUGCUGCCUAACUUCUAGGCUUCUUUCUGAUAGCUAUGGCUUCCAUCCUGCCUCUGCCCCCUGAGUAGCUGGGACUACAGGUGUGCCUCACAGCCUGGAGCUUUCACAGCCAGAUAACUAAAGGGCCAGGCUAGGGCGUAUAUAAGAGAAAUUUGGGAGGAUUGAGAUAAAGGGGAUAGUCUUCUUGAUCAUCCAAAACAGCUCAUCUACCUUCAAGUUUUUCUUUGGCUCUGCUCAGAGCUGGCUCAGGCCCCUGGGUGCUGGACCUUUCAGUUCCCACUUUUUCAGGGGAUUAACUGAGGCACCGUAAGAUGCAACUCUCUAGAACCCUGUUUAAAGGCCCUGGGAUUUAGUUGCCCCUAGGAAACCAGCCUUGUCUGGUUCCCUCUUCCCAUAGGGUCAGUGUUCACAGCACUGUGAGGCAAGGUCAAGAGCAGAGGUGAUGUGAAAGUUUCUUGUUCUCUCUACCUUUGGGCCCAUCUCCCUGGGUCCAGCUACUCUGUGUCAUUGGCUCCAGGGACCAGCGCAUCAGCCAGGACGUGGAGCGAUUCUGCCGGCAGCUCAGCAGCAUGGCCAGCAAGCUGAUCAUCUCCCCGUUCACCCUCGUCUACUACACUUACCAGUGCUUCCAAAGCACAGGCUGGCUCGGGCCUGUGAGCAUCUUCGGGUAUUUCAUCCUGGGGACCGUGGUGAACAAAACUUUGAUGGGCCCCAUUGUGACGAAGCUGGUGCAUCAGGAGAAGCUGGAGGGAGAUUUUAGGUUCAAGCACAUGCAGAUUCGGGUGAAUGCGGAGCCUGCUGCUUUCUACAGGUGAGUCUGGAGAGAUGGUUCCCCUUCUGCCUUGCCAGAGCUGAGAAUGGAGAAGGAAAGAUGAAUCCUCAACCCUCCCACCACCACCGAGCUCAGGGGCUGAGUGUUGUCAUACUUGGCUGUGACCCUCCCCCUCUACCUCCCCCUGCCCUUGUCUGCCUCAUCCUUAGGUCCAGGGGUUUGCUUCUGAAGCUGGUGGUUCCUUACUGUGGCCAGCUUUAGUCUUAGUGGCCUAGCGUGGGGCCUGAAAUUGUCAAAUGAAUGAAUGCCUCAUCCUCUUGCUGGUGACUGUAAGAUAUCCGUCUGCCUCUGCUCUUCUGUCUGUUAAGAAGCUUUCUUGACAGUGCCUGAGGUUCAAGCCUGAUCCUUUGUCUCUGUAGCGUGGGAUGGAAUGGGAGCUUCUCAGAAAACCAGGAGACCUGCUCCCCACAAUGCUGUCUAAUGGAGCCAAGCGUCUGGUCUCCUGACGGCAGCAGCAGGAGCAGCAGCAGCGGCAUGAAAUCCCAUCCCUUCCCUCCAGGGCCAGAACCGGUCCCUGUGCUCUGCCUUAUGUGAGGCCUCUGAAAUCAGCGUUAGGACUGAUAGUGCAGGCAGAGGUUUGCGUUUAAGAAGUGGAAGCUACUCCUUGGCUCACCUGUACUUGGGGUGGAUGUGAUAGCCCUGGGACCUUUGCUCCUCAGUCUCUGCUGCAGUUUGCAACCUCCACCACUUGAGGGCACCAAGAAUACUGGGAAUCUGCGCUGGGGUGGGGUUGUGAGGUGGGCAGGGCUGGGUGUGUAAAAAAGUUGCUUUUGGAGGCCGGGCAUGGUGGCUCAUGCCUGUAAUCCCAGCACUUUGGGAGGCCGAGGCGGGUGGAUUGCCUGAGGUCAAGAGUUCGAGACCAGCCAUGGCCAACAUGGUGAAACCCUGUCUCUACUAAAAAUACAAAAAAUUAGCUGAGCGUGGUGGCGGGCACCUGUAAUCCCAGCUACUGGGGAGGCUGAGGCAGGAGAAUCGCUUGAAUCUGGGAGGCAGAGGUUGCAGUAAGGCAAGAUCCUGCCAUUGCACUCCAGCCUGGGUGACAGAGCAAGACUCCGUCUCAAAAAAAAAAAGAAA
rnacentral:sRNA from 1 species